CUCAAUUCUAUUUCAAGCACAUAAAAUAUUAGAAUGCCAUAUAAUAUUAAACUGCCCUUUUAAAAGAAUAGAAUCUUAGAACUCUUGACUAGACCAAUAAAAUUUAAAGAUUUGGGGGUUUAUUAUUUAUUUUUUACACUUCCUACUAUAUCUUGCCUGAAACCGAUAAAGUGAACGUGAAACAAAUGGUUACUGAGCCACUUGCCCCAGGUUAUUCAGCUCAGGUGGCUACUAGCUCCACUCAUAAUUACCCAAUAAAAAGGUAUGGGCGAGUUUUUUAAACGGCCCAAAAGGGGUGAUACUCUCCCAAACACCGAUUUCUCCAUACAGAAUUACCUUAAGGGGUCACCAAGUACCGCACUACUUGGGCCAUCGGGUUGGUAACCAAUUGAUCAAGCAACUAGAGGAAUG
rnacentral:lncRNA from 1 species